CCUACGGGGGGCUGCAGUGGGGAAUUUUGGACAAUGGGCGCAAGCCUGAUCCAGCCAUGCCGCGUGAGUGAAGAAGGCCUUCGGGUUGUAAAGCUCUUUCGGCGGGGAAGAAAUUGCUCAGGAUAAUACCUUGAGUAGAUGACGGUACCCGCAUAAGAAGCACCGGCUAACUACGUGCCAGCAGCCGCGGUAAUACGUAGGGUGCGAGCGGUAAUCGGAAUUAGUGGAGGUGGAUCUGUAAGUGGCAUGUGAAAUCCCCGGGCUCAACCUGGGAACUGCAUUUGAGACUGCAAGGCUAGAGUGUAGCAGAGGGGGGUAGAAUUCCACGUGUAGCAGUGAAAUGCGUAGAGAUGUGGAGGAAUACCGAUGGCGAAGGCAGCCCCCUGGGUUACUACUGACGCUCAUGCACGAAAGCGUGGGGAGCAAACAGGAUUAGAUACCCUUGUAGUC
rnacentral:rRNA from 1 species